rnacentral:rRNA from 1 species
GAUGAACGCUGGCGGUGUGCCUAAUACAUGCAGGUCGAGCGAACAGACGAGGAGCUUACUCCUCUGACGUUAGCGGCGGACGGGUGAGUAACACGUGGAUAACCUACCUAUAAGACUGGGAUAACUUCGGGAAACCGGAGCUAAUACCGGAUAACAUGUUGAACCGCAUGGUUCAACAGUGAAAGACGGUCUUGCUGUCACUUAUAGAUGGAUCCGCGUCGCAUUAGCUAGUUGGUAAGGUAACGGCUUACCAAGGCAACGAUGCGUAGCCGACCUGAGAGGGUGAUCGGCCACACUGGAACUGAGACACGGUCCAGACUCCUACGGGAGGCAGCAGUAGGGAAUCUUCCGCAAUGGGCGAAAGCCUGACGGAGCAACGCCGCGUGAGUGAAGAAGGUCUUCGGAUCGUAAAACUCUGUUAUUAGGGAAGAACAAAUGUGUAAGUAACGAUGCACGUCUUGACGGUACCUAAGCAGAAAGCCACGGCUAACUACGU